UACUAAAGACCUAGAAGUUGUCUGAAAUAAUAAUGCUUUCAUUUCCGUCUUCAGACACCCAGCCAGGCCUGUUUCUUCACAGCCAGCCAUUAACUCAUGAUUCACCGUCGUCAGAAACCCCGCCAGGCCCUUUCCUUCACAGCCAGCCACUAACCCAUGAUUCACCCCAGCCACGUCACCGCUUCCAUGCCACACCUCUGCCAUCGCAACAGGA